AUUGAACGCUGGCGGCAGGCUUAACACAUGCAAGUCGAGCGGAGAUGAGGUGCUUGCACCUUAUCUUAGCGGCGGACGGGUGAGUAAUGCUUAGGAAUCUGCCUAUUAGUGGGGGACAACAUUCCGAAAGGAAUGCUAAUACCGCAUACGUCCUACGGGAGAAAGCAGGGGAUCUUCGGACCUUGCGCUAAUAGAUGAGCCUAAGUCGGAUUAGCUAGUUGGUGGGGUAAAGGCCUACCAAGGCGACGAUCUGUAGCGGGUCUGAGAGGAUGAUCCGCCACACUGGGACUGAGACACGGCCCAGACUCCUACGGGAGGCAGCAGUGGGGAAAAUUGGACAAUGGGGGGAACCCUGAUCCAGCCAUGCCGCGUGUGUGAAGAAGGCCUUAUGGUUGUAAAGCACUUUAAGCGAGGAGGAGGCUACUGAGACUAAUACUCUUGGAUAGUGGACGUUACUCGCAGAGUAAGCACCGGCUAACUCUGUGCCAGCCGCCGCCGUAAAAC
rnacentral:rRNA from 1 species